rnacentral:rRNA from 2 species
AGAUCGUAGGCUGCAACUCGCCUACGUGAAGGAGGAAUCGCUAGUAAUCGCAGGUCAGCAUACUGCGGUGAAUACGUUCCCGGGCCUUGUACACACCGCCCGUCACACCAUGGAAGUUGGCCACGCCCGAAGCCGUUACUCCAACCCUCGGGAGGAGGACGUCGAAGGUGGGGCUGAUGACUGGGGUGAAGUCGUAACAAGGUAUCCGUACCGGAAGGUGCGGAUGGAUCACCUCCUAA